AAACUCGUGACGUCCCCGCGUGACCUCACCGCUGCGGGGCGAUGGAGCGAAAAGUGAGGAAACUGAAGUCCCGGGAGAGACAGUGGCAAGGUCAAGUAGCAAAGUGCACUCAGCCCUCCCAGCAAGGAGUCUGCCACUCGCGCUUGAAGGACGUGUUUGAAGAGCUGCUUUCCCAGUGGGAUGCUGCCUUAAAGUCUUGAUUCCCUGGCACUCUUUCCUAUUACUACAUUUUAUCGGUGCUGUUUGUGUUAUGCAACGGUAGCAUCGUGUCUCCGGAAGAUAAAAAAGGUCUCGAUACAAACAUCCAUAACCUUCCACCCACUCCGUCAGGAACAACCCAAUCAAAAUAAAGUCAUGAGAAUUUAG
rnacentral:lncRNA from 1 species